UACGGAGGGGGCUAGCGUUGUUCGGAAUUACUGGGCGUAAAGCGCACGUAGGCGGCUUUGCAAGUUAGAGGUGAAAGCCCGGGGCUCAACUCCGGAAUUGCCUUUAAAACUGCAUCGCUAGAAUUGUGGAGAGGUAAGUGGAAUUCCGAGUGUAGAGGUGAAAUUCGUAGAUAUUCGGAAGAACACCAGUGGCGAAGGCGACUUACUGGACACAUAUUGACGCUGAGGUGCGAAAGCGUGGGGAGCGAACAGG
rnacentral:rRNA from 1 species